rnacentral:rRNA from 1 species
AACGAACGCUGGCGGCAUGCCUAACACAUGCAAGUCGAACGAGACCUUCGGGUCUAGUGGCGCACGGGUGCGUAACGCGUGGGAACCUGCCCUUAGGUUCGGAAUAACUCCCCGAAAGGGGUGCUAAUACCGGAUAAUGCCUUCGGACCAAAGAUUUAUCGCCUUUGGAUGGGCCCGCGUUGGAUUAGCUAGUUGGUAGGGUAAAAGCCUACCAAGGCGACGAUCCAUAGCUGGUCUGAGAGGAUGAUCAGCCACACUGGGACUGAGACACGGCCCAGACUCCUACGGGAGGCAGCAGUGGGGAAGAUUGGACAAUGGGCGAAAGCCUGAUCCAGCAAGGCCGCGUGAGUGAUGAAGGCCUUAGGGUUGUAAAGCUCUUUUACCCGGGAUGAUAAUGACAGUACCGGGAGAAUAAGCUCCGGCUAACUCCGUG